rnacentral:rRNA from 1 species
AAACCAGCACCUCAAGUGGUCAGGAUGAUUAUUGGGCCUAAAGCAUCCGUAGCCUGUUCUGUAAGUUUUCGGUUAAAUCUGUAUGCUCAACAUACAGGCUGCCGGGAAUACUGCAGGGCUAGGGAGUGGGAGAGGUAGACGGUACUCGGGAGGAAGUGGUAAAAUGCUUUGAUCUUUCGAUGACCACCUGUGGCGAAGGCGGUCUACCAGAACACGUCCGACGGUGAGGGAUGAAAGCUGGGGGAGCAAACCGGAUUAGAAACCCGGGUAGUCC